rnacentral:rRNA from 1 species
UACAGGGGGUGCAAACGUUGCUCGGAAUCAUUGGGCGUAAAGCGCACGUAGGCGGUUCGUUAUGUCGGAUGUGAAAGCCCUUGGCUUAACCGAGGAAGUGCAUCCGAAACUGGCGAGCUAGAGUACGAAAGAGGAUCGCGGAAUUCCCGGUGUAGAGGUGAAAUUCGUAGAUAUCGGGAGGAACACCAGUGGCGAAGGCGGCUUUCUGGACAUUUACUGACGCUGAGACGCGAAAGCGUGGGGAGCAAACAGG